UACGGAGGGUGCGAGCGUUAAUCGGAAUCACUGGGCGUAAAGCGCGCGUAGGCGGCUUUUCAAGUCAGGGGUGAAAUCCCACGGCCCAACCGUGGAACUGCCUUUGAAACUGUAGAGCUUGAGUGUUGGAGAGGGUGGCGGAAUUCCAGGUGUAGGAGUGAAAUCCGUAGAUAUCUGGAGGAACACCGGUGGCGAAGGCGGCCACCUGGACGACAACUGACGCUGAGGUGCGAAAGCGUGGGUAGCAAACAGG
rnacentral:rRNA from 1 species